ACUGGAGCUAAGCCGGUGUGAAUCGAGGCUGCAUGUGCCUGGGUGUAGUGGACCGUGCACACUUGGGGAAAUGCACGUGGUGCAAUGAGCCUCUCCAUUUUCAGAAUUGUGAGGGUGAGCGAGAGGGGCUGCCCGGCGUGUGCAGACUCUGCGCCGGCUCGUCUGUUUGGGGAGCUGUUGGUUAUCUUUAGGGAUGGGAAGACAUACAAGAAAGCAACCAGUUACUGGAUUAUAUGAGGAAGGCUGUGACAGAGGCCAUACCGGAUGCUGCAGGAACACAGAAAAAGAAGGAUCUACGCCCUUUGAUGAAUUCCCAGGAAGCCUUCCCAGAUGUGUCAGUGGGCUCUUGAAGGGUGCUCAUCUACUGGAAAGGCUUCAACUUUCACCUUUGCUGAUGACGUUCCAGUCCCAGUCUGCCCAAUCUGAAUUCUUCCUCAGCCUCUGCUUAGCUUCCUAUCCUCCGUUCCUUCUCCUAUGAUCUAGGCAGACAUUGAGGAUUAUGCCUGGCACAUUUUCUCAGAGGGCCAAGGCACAGCCUUAAUUUUCUACUCAACUGGGAGCUCUAGGCACCCAUUACCAUUCAGAGUUGGCAUUCGAGACAAAAACUAUUUUUUUCCUGAAUCUAGUCCUUUUAAUUUUAAGCACCUUAAGGAAUAUACCUUUUAAAGUGUCUUGAAGGAUUUCAUUCCCCCAUUCAUUCAGCAAACUGUAAAGAGCUUCCCAUGUGCUGCCUGUUGAAUGCAACAUCCUCCCUCUCAAACCCUCUCCUGCUCAACAGGUCCCCUGCUAUCAAUGAUACCAGCAAUAGCACUGAAAGAAUAAAUAUACACCAGAUAACACAGAGUAAACAUCCAGCAAUAGGACUACUGGGUUACAUGCUUGGUCCCAGGUAGCUGGUGCAGGCAUUGGUACUUAAACUAAACCAA
rnacentral:lncRNA from 10 species